GGGAGAAUGUGAUGUCUGUGUAUUUAUUGUGUGUGUGUAGUGUAAUAUAAAAGUAAAAGAAAAAUAAUUUAAUGGUGGGGCCCACAAGGCACUUUAGAAAAGGGUCAAGACCAUAAAGUUGGUCUCAUUUUCCUGAUUCCCUUUCUCUCUCUUCGUGCAUCUCUCUCUCAACCCGUUCCGUUUGAGGCAAAACGAAGCUCGUGUCAAGCUCUAUACAUCCAUACCAUCAAUUUCCAGUUUUGAGUCUUCCUUGGAGCUCGAAUUUGAGGACCAAUUUUCUAGGGUUUUGGUGCAAUCUUGAGGUCUUGGAAAAGAACCGGUGGACGACAAUCCACCCUAACUUUGAAAGUUGCUAGAGGAGCAUUUUCCUUGUUAUUUUGUAAUAGACUACUCCUUUGUUCAUCCCUCAUUUUUUGUAAAAUUCCAAAGGUGUAAUGAUGUAAAAUUCUUUUGAAGAACCAUGAUCAUGUAAUACACUUAUGAUACUUGAUGACAUAUGGGAUACGAACUUGAUGAUAUGUAACUUGUUGAUGAAUGG